ACCUGGAAUUGUGGCAGGCUCCUAUAGUCCCAGCUACUUGGGAGGCUGAGGCAAGAGAAUCACUUAAGCCCAAGAAUUGGAGGUUGCUGUGAGCUGUGAUGCCGUUGCACUCUACUGAGGGUGACAAAAUGACUCUGUCUCUAAAAAAUAAAAUUAAAUUAAAAAAAAUAUAUGGUAACCUCCUUUGAGUGGGGGGUUGGGAGGGUGCACCAGCUUGCCUAAGGAGGGGUGAACCGGCCCAGGUUGGAACCAGAGCAGGUCAAAACUCCUGUGCUGAUCAGUAGUGGGAUUGCUCUUGUGAAUAGCCACUGCACUCUAGCCUGGGCAAUAUGGCACGACCCUGUCUCUA
rnacentral:SRP_RNA from 1 species